AUCCACACAGGAGGAGGAAUCAGCCAAAUCCUUUGUUCAGUCGUGGGCAGCCAUGACAGGUAAGGAGGGCGGGAGGGAAGACUGAAGAAAAAUGAGAGGAGGAGGAAUUUUGCUAAGAAUUUAUGGCGUUGAUAUCCAGAAUAAUAACUCGGUUUCUUGGCUGCAGACUCCAGCUCAUCCCCCUCACGCUCAGAGGGACGGAGUCUCAAGAAUCAGGCAGCCCACCUGCUUGGACAGCUGCCAUGCCGGGGGAACAUGAGGCAGCAACUUCUCCUCUCCUCAGGGGCUUUUACAACAGUCUACCUCCCAUACAGGGUU